rnacentral:lncRNA from 1 species
CCUAAUUGUAACAUGAAAGCACCCGUGGAGAGACAUGGUAUGGGCAAAGGUCUGGCAACAAAUCCUAAUUGUAAGAUGAAAGCACCUGUGAAGAGACAUGGUAUGGGCAAAGGUCUGGCAACAAAUCCUAAUUGUAAUAUGAAAGCACCUGUGAAGAGACAUGGUAUGGGGAAAGGGCUGGCAGCAAAUCCUAAUAGUAAUAUGAAAGCACCUGUGAAGAGACAUGGUAUGGGCAAAGGUCUAAUGACAAUUUGGAGGGCAACAAAUCAUGAUGCUAGAGACCUUCCAAUCAGUUUUGGUUCUGUUGACAAGGAUGUUCAUCUAACCUCUAAUACUAAAACACCGAUAUCGGUCAACAGG